rnacentral:misc_RNA from 1 species
GCAUGUCCAGAUUGCUGGUCCACAGAUACAAUGCUUGCAUUACUAGUAAACCACUGACCAGAUACUUGAUCACUUAGACCUUCUAUGCUGAAGUUAAGACCACUUCCUAGGUGAAGAGUUGGAUUCUGAGGAUGCAAAUGAGCACCAACAAGAAUCACCAUAUAAUCAGAGUUCUUUGGUUCAUUGGCAAAACCUACUCGCACAAGAGCUCUACCAUAACUUAUUGCUUUGAGAUGGACAUUUCCAG